UACGUAGGGUGCGAGCGUUAAUCGGAAUUACUGGGCGUAAAGUGUGCGCAGGCGGCCGAGCAAGUCGAGUGUGAAAGCCCCGGGCUUAACUUGGGAAUUGCGCUCGAAACUACUUGGCUGGAGUGUGGCAGAGGAAGGUGGAAUUCCAGGUGUAGCGGUGAAAUGCGUAGAGAUCUGGAGGAACACCGAUGGCGAAGGCAGCCUUCUGGGCCAACACUGACGCUCAUGCACGAAAGCGUGGGGAGCGAACAGG
rnacentral:rRNA from 1 species